CUUUUUUCCAUUUUCUACAAGAAGCCUUUUAGUAUAUGAAAAUUAUUACUCUUUUGGGGGUUUAAAGAAAUGGUCUGCAUAACCUGAAUGAAAGAAGCAAAUGACUAUUCUCUGAAGACAACCAAGAGAAAAUUGCAAAAAGAAAAGUAUGACUUUUAUAUGAACCCCUUCUUUAGGGUCCAAAAGGAAUUGUGGACUGAAUCACUAGCCUUAGGUCUUUCAGCAAACCGCCUAUCAGGGCCAUUUAUCAUAUGUGAGAUUUGCAUUUUACUUUGCUGACUUUGUUGUAAUAGAUCCCAUUCAUUGUCCCCUUUGGGGUAUUUCCAAUACUUGAAUGGCAGAUUGGAGUUUUUCAGAGUAUUUGUUUCAUCUGCUAGUCUUU
rnacentral:lncRNA from 1 species